rnacentral:rRNA from 1 species
GGGUCAGUAGGUUGGUCGUGCCACCGGUACGUACUGGUCUCACUGAUUCCUCCUUCCUGAAGAACCGUAAUGCCAUUAAUUUGGUGUUGCGGGGAAACAGGACUGUUACUUUGAAAAAUUAGAGUGUUUAAAGCAAGCUAACGCUUGAAUACAUUAGCAUGGAAUAAUGAAAUAGGACGAUCGAUCCUAUUUUGUUGGUCUCUAGGAUUGACGUA